rnacentral:lncRNA from 1 species
CCAAAAGGAAAGAAUUCCACCUCAUCCCAUUUUAAAAACAUAUUUCAAUAAGCGCAAAUGCUUUCUUUUUCUUUUUUUUUUUUGAAGAUGUGAAAUCUUGUACUGGUCGUUGGUUGUUUCUCUUUCAGUACAAUCAGAAAAUAGUGGAAUACUGAAUUAUGGGAAGCUUCCAUUAUCUCAGGUGUCAACAUUCCAUAGGUUGGUGUGGGGGCAGUUUUUAUGUUCUAUAAUACAAAGCAUACUAAAUGGAAUAAAUGGAAAUUUAGAGUCACAGUUAAACAUUCGACUUAUGUCUUCUCUUUUAAGCAUUUUAAACUACCUCUAUUAUAUUGAUUUUUAGAAGAAUUGUUUUCUAAAGAAAACUGCUUCCUGAUGUUGGCGCAGGUGGGCUCUCUGUGAUAUCUGCGGCCAUGGUAGUCCAUUUUUCCUACUAACUUUGUUAAUGUCCUGAGAAAAACUAGAAAUUUGAAUAGGAUAUAAAGAAUAGGAUUUCCCAGAAGAAGAGACAUUUUUAUCCCAGUAAUCCUGCUGUGUUUAGUCAUUCCUCCCAAUGCCAGUGAUCCCUUAAAUCUGGGUGUUGUCCAUCAUCAUCCCUGCCCGUCUCCGUGCAUCCACAACUGCCACAUCCUGAGAGCUCAGUCCAUCAUAAAUGCAAUUAUAGCCUUUUACCUCCUCCUCACCAGAUACUCUCUACAGGGCAAGUUCAUCAAACUGUGUGCUUAGAAGCUCUGGAGCAGAACUCUCACCCACCAGAAGAUUGCCUCAAGAGAUAAAAGAUGAUUUACAACCCAAAGUAUGCCCACUAGAGGUUUUGGCCAUUUUUACAAUGUAUUCCUGCCCAUGAAGAUGCCAACUUGACUGCCCAAUACAUAAAGCACCAAAGCAAGUAUGCGGACCCCCCCACACCUCCUCACUUCUGCUCCUGUGUAGACCCCCAUCUUUAAAAGCACUUACUUUCUCCUGCAAAAGCAAAUCAGACCCUUACAGCAGGAAGGCUUUUCUUCUUCUCCUAAACUAGCUUUGGAAUAAAAAGUUAUUUUCUUUA